CGCGUAGGUGGUAGUGCAAGUCUGAGGUGGAAUCUUAGGGCUUAACCCUAAAAUUGCCUUGGAAACUGCAUUACUUGAGUCAGUGAGGGGAGGGUAGAAUUCCUGGUGUGGCGGUGAAAUGCGUAGAUAUCAGGAGGAAGGCCGGUGGCGAAGGCGGCCCUCUGGCGCUGAACUGACACUGAGGCGCGAAAGCGUGGGGAGCAAACAGGAUUAGAUACCCUGGUAGUCCACGCCCUAAACGGUGGGUACUAGGUGUAGGGCUCGUAAGGGUUCUGUGCCGAAGCGAAAGCAUUAAGUACCCCGCCUGGGGAGUACGGCCGCAAGGUUGAA
rnacentral:rRNA from 1 species